rnacentral:rRNA from 1 species
AGUGAACGCUGGCGGUAGGCCUAACACAUGCAAGUCGAACGGCAGCACAGUAAGAGCUUGCUCUUACGGGUGGCGAGUGGCGGACGGGUGAGGAAUACAUCGGAAUCUACUUUUUCGUGGGGGAUAACGUAGGGAAACUUACGCUAAUACCGCAUACGACCUACGGGUGAAAGCAGGGGAUCUUCGGACCUUGCGCGAUUGAAUGAGCCGAUGUCGGAUUAGCUAGUUGGCGGGGUAAAGGCCCACCAAGGCGACGAUCCGUAGCUGGUCUGAGAGGAUGAUCAGCCACACUGGAACUGAGACACGGUCCAGACUCCUACGGGAGGCAGCAGUGGGGAAUAUUGGACAAUGGGCGCAAGCCUGAUCCAGCCAUACCGCGUGGGUGAAGAAGGCCUUCGAGUUGUAAAGCCCUUUUGUUGGGAAAGAAAAGCAGCAGGUUAAUACCCCGCUGUUCUGACGGUGCCCAAAGAAUAAGCACCGGCUAACUUCGUG